UCCGUAGGUGAACCUGCGGAAGGAUCAUUAAAUACAGUAGAUUUCUACUGAUCGGGGGGGUGGAAAGUCCCAGUUUGAUUACUGGAUCACGAGUAAGCCCCCUGUCUGCAACCCUUGUCUUUUGCGUACUCANUGUUUCCUCGGCGGGCUUGCCUGCCGAAUGGACAAUUCUAAAANCCUUUUUAAUUUUCAAUCAGCGUCUGAACAAUNUAUAAUAAUUACAACUUUCAACAACGGAUCUCUUGGUUCUGGCAUCGAUGAAGAACGCAGCGAAAUGCGAUAAGUAGUGUGAAUUGCAGAAUUCAGUGAAUCAUCGAAUCUUUGAACGCACAUUGCGCCCCUUGGUAUUCCAUGGGGCAUGCCUGUUCGAGCGUCAUUUGUACCCUCAAGCUAUGCUUGGUGUUGGGUGUUUGUCCUCUCCCCUGCGUUUGGACUCGCCUUAAAGAAAUUGGCAGCCAGUGUAUUGGUCUUGAAGCGCAGCACAAUUUGCGAUUCUAGCUAAUAACNACUUGCAACCAUCAAGUCUAUUUAACACUUUUGACCUCGGAUCAGGUAGGGAUACCCGCUGAACUUAAGCAUAUCAAUAAGCGGAGGA
rnacentral:rRNA from 1 species